UAAGACAGUUUCCAGAUAAGCAUCACA
rnacentral:misc_RNA from 1 species